rnacentral:rRNA from 1 species
UACGGAGGGGGCUAGCGUUGUUCGGAAUUACUGGGGCGUAAAGCGCACGUAGGCGGCUUUGUAAGUUAGAGGUGAAAGCCCAGGGCUCAACCCUGGAAUUGCCUUUAAGACUGCAUCGCUAGAAUUGUGGAGAGGUAAGUGGAAUUCCGAGUGUAGAGGUGAAAUUCGUAGAUAUUCGGAAGAACACCAGUGGCGAAGGCGACUUACUGGACACAUAUUGACGCUGAGGUGCGAAAGCGUGGGGAGCAAACAGG